UAUUGCACUUAUACCGGCCUGA
rnacentral:miRNA from 1 species